rnacentral:lncRNA from 1 species
CUGAAAGUUCAAUGGACAAUCACAACGUUCAGUAAAUUUAAAAAUCAUUCUUGAAAGCCAAAGAAACAACCCCAUAUCUAUAAUUCUCAAAGAACGUUUGGGAGCUGCUCACGCACUUCACAAAGCACCAUCUCCAUGGAGUCCUACACAGACACUAGUUUCAUGGAUCUGUUGGGCUCUCAUUCAACAAAUGAGGUAGCAGAUAUCUGUUCACAGCAGCAAGAAUUUGCUGCCCCUCUCCCACAGAAUCACAAGGUAUCAUCAGCUUCACCAAGCACCCAACGAAGCAGUAAGCGACCUCGAUAGCAAAUGUGUAAUGAUUCACUCCCUGCUAUUCCCUUUAAAUCCCUCACUGGCCAAUACAAAACCUGGAAAAGAAAACAAUAGGUACUGCUUCAAAAACUUAAACCAACAUGUGAAAACAAAUGCGGACAUAUGACUGCAAUGGAAGUUGCAAGGUUUUUAAACAAACAGAAACAAUUCGAGUCUUUCUACCGUUGUAUUGAAGUUCCAUUCUUUUGGAAAAACCAUGCUCGAAUUUCAGUACAUUCGGUGUGUCACAGGGAGUUAUAAUCUUCCGGAGAAUACAUUUCCCCCUCCUUGUGUGCCCGUAAGGGAUUGGGAUGGAAAAAAAAAUACCGGUGACAUACCUACAAGGCCUUGACGAAGCUCUUGCUCUGCUCCAUGGAGGCCUCGCUGAUGGUCGUGGGCCCCACUCCGGCGACCCCUGCCCAUCUGCCAGCCGCCAGUCUCAGCCACAACGGCCGCAUUACUGCAACACCAUCGUUCUUGACUCCGGUCGCCGGUGGUGAGUGCACAGCAAGAUGUGGAACAAAGCUAGGGGAAAGCAAAUCUAGCUUGGGAAGAACAGCAAGAUGUGGAAUGAAGCUAGGGGGAAGCAAAUCUAGCUCUUGAAGAAGAAGUACUAGCACUGGGUCUAUAGGAGGAGAGGAGGACAAGAUAAGCCAGUGAGAAGAUAAGAGGAAGCAGACUACUCGAGGUGAGCUG